UGCUGACUUUACCAGCGUGACACUGAAAUCAGAAGGAUACAGAGAUCAGCAAGGCCUCUGUGCAAGGGUGACAUGCAAAUUCCUGAAGCACUCCAUAUUUUC
ensembl:snRNA U6 U6 spliceosomal RNA